GCUACGUAGUGUAGCUCAGUUGGAUAGAGCACCCGUUUAGUAAGCGGGAGGUCUCCAGUUCGAAUCUGGAUGUCAGCA
rnacentral:tRNA from 1 species